UACGUAGGGCGCAAGCGUUAUCCGGAAUUAUUGGGCGUAAAGAGCUCGUAGGCGGUUUGUCGCGUCUGCCGUGAAAGUCCGGGGGCUCAACUCCGAUCUGCGGUGGGUACGGGCAGACUAGAGUGAUGUAGGGGAGACUGGAAUUCCUGGUGUAGCGGUGGAAUGCGCAGAUAUCAGGAGGAACACCAAUGGCGAAGGCAGAUCUCUGGGCCGUAACUGACGCUGAGGAGCGAAAGCAUGGGGAGCGAACAGG
rnacentral:rRNA from 1 species